GCAUUUCGCUACACUCGCAUUAACAUCUGCUAACCAUGUGUAUGUGACAAAUAAAAUAUGAUGUGAUUUGAACAAUUUAAAAGGGUGAAAGGUGGUAUGCAGUAAUAAUUCGUUUUUUUAUUUUUCAGUAUUUUUUUCAGUGUUUGAUUAAUUUAGUUUGCAAAUAAUGAUAUCGCUUCUGUAGUUUGUCAAAUACAGUGUACCUGCUGCGAAAGAUGGAGGGGAUGAGAGGCAAGAACAUUAGCUCAUCUUCAUGCAAGGUGCAUCCACAUGUGCAAAUGAAAUUCAACAGCUAAUAUGUCGAAGGUGCUGGACUGGCAGAUGGAGAGGCUGUUGUCGUAUCGGAGGCGCUUUGGGAGGAUCACCAAAGAAAUGACGCCGUCCCAUCGUAUUGACCUCCUGACUGAUGCACUUCUCCACCAUGGGAAAAAGAUACGCCAGAGGCAACUGGACAGAGGCUUUCCGAGCAACAGAAGUUGCAACAGAGGCAGAAAGGGAAAUGGCAGAAAUUGCAGUCUUUUUCAGG